GACGAACGCUGGCGGCGUGCUUAACACAUGCAAGUCGAACGGAAAGGCCCUGCUUUUGUUGGGUGCUCGAGUGGCGAACGGGUGAGUAACAAGUGAGUAACCUGCCCUUGACUUUGGGAUAACUUCAGGAAACUGGGGUUAAUACCGGAUAGGAGCUCCUGCUGCAUGGUGGGGGUUGGAAAGUUUCGGCGGUUGGGGAUGGACUCGCGGCUUAUCAGCUUGUUGGUGGGGUAGUGGCUUACCAAGGCUUUGAUGGGUAGCCGGCCUGAGAGGGUGACCGGCCACAUUGGGACUGAGAUACGGCCCAGACUCCUACGGGGGGCAGCAGUGGGGAAUAUUGCACAAUGGGCGGAAGCCUGAUGCAGCAACGCCGCGGGCGGGAUGACGGCCUUCGGGUUGUAAACCGCUUUCGCCUGUGACGAAGCGUGAGUGACGGUAAUGGGUAAAGAAGCACCGGCUAACUACGUG
rnacentral:rRNA from 1 species